GAUCCUGCCAGUAGUCAUAUGCUUGUCUCAAAGUAAGCCAUGCAUGUCUAAGUGCGCGCCCUUAAUNNGUGAAACCGCGAAUGGCUCAUUAAAUCAGCUAUGGUUUAUUGGAUGCACCCGUUAAAUGGAUAACUGUAAUAACUCUAGAGCUAAUACAUGCCUCGAAGCCCUGACCCGUGAGGGGAUGGGUGCACUUAUUAGAUCAGAAGCCAACCGGGCUUCGCGUGCCUGUUGUCGUUCUGGUGACUCUGGAUAAUUGUUACAGAUCGCAGUCGGCCUUGAGUCGGCCACGGGUCCUUCAAAUGUCUGCCCUAUCAACUGUCGAUGGUAGGUUACCUGCCUACCAUGGUUAUAACGGGUAACGGGGAAUCAGGGUUCGAUUCCGGAGAGGGAGCCUGAGAAACGGCUACCACUUCCAAGGGAGGCAGCAGGCGCGCAAAUUACCCACUCCCAGCACGGGGAGGUGGUGACGAAAAAUACCGAUGCGGGACUCUUACGAGGCUCCGUAAUCGGAAUGAGUGAAAUCUAAAUCCUUUCACGAGGAUCAAUUGGAGGGCAAGUCUGGUGCCAGCAGCCGCGGUAACUCCAGCUCCAAUAGCGUAUAUUAAAGUUGCUGCAGUUAAAAAGCUCGUAGUUGGAUCUCGGUAUCACUGCUGCCUGUCAGUCCUUGGGUGUCAGGCCAAGUCUCGUGCUGCUACGGUGGUGUGGACUGGUCGGGUGCCUGAGUUGGCGUGGCGGCGGUGCCACCUUUCAGCCAUGUCUGUGGUGCAAUACCCACAGGUGUAGGCGGGUGUCGGGCGGUGCUCUGCUCUGUGGGGGCCCGUCGGCUCGUUUGCAUGCCUCUGGAUGCCCUUCAAAAGGUGUCUGCGGGCGGAUGGCACGUUUACUUUGAACAAAUUUGAGUGCUCAAACCAGGCCGAUGCUGCCUGAAAAGUUUUGCAUGGAAUAAUGGAAUAGGACUUCGGUUCUAUUUCGUUGGUUUUCGGAUCCGAAGUAAUGAUCAAAAGAGACAGGCGGGGACGUUUGUAUGGUUGCGCUAGAGGUGAAAUUCAUGGACCGUAACCAGACAAACUAAAGCGAAAGCAUUCGUCAAGCAUGUUUUCAUUGGCCAUGAGCGAAAGUCAGAGGCUCGAAGACGAUCAGAUACCGUCCUAGUUCUGACCAUAAACGAUGCCAACUGACGAUCCGUGUUGGUAGUACUACAACCUUCCUCACGGGCGAUCCCCGGGAAACCUUUAAGUCUUUGGGUUCCGGGGGAAGUAUGGUUGCAAAGCUGAAACUUAAAGGAAUUGACGGAAGGGCACCACCAGGAGUGGNGUGCGGCUUAAUUUGACUCAACACGGGAAAACUCACCGGCCCGGACACUAUGAGGAUUGACAGAUUGACAGCUCUUUCUUGAUUUGGUGGUUGGUGGUGCAUGGCCGUUCUUAGUUGGUGGAGCGAUUUGUCUGUAUCGAUAACGAACGAGACUCUAGCCUGCUAAUUAGUGUGCCUGUCCUCUGUUCCCGUGCAAGUGGCGCUAGUGGAAGCCUCUUACGUUCUGCUGCCUGUUUUGGUGGUGCCGAUGGUUCGCCUUGGGUGCUAGCCGUUACAGGCGCUGUUUGCGGUGGAAGCUGUGUCGUCUUCCGGGUACGGCGCAGUGCCUACUUCUUAGAGGACAAGUAUCUGAAUGUGCACAAAUUGAGCAAUAACAGGUCUGUGAUGCCCUUAGAUGUCCGGGGCCGCACGCGCGCUACAAUGACGGUGCCAAUGAGUCUGACCUUCUGGCCCGAAAGGGUUGGGUAAACUGGUCAAUCACCGUCAUGACAGGGAUCGGGGCUUGGAAUUGUUCCCCGUGAACGAGGAAUUCCUAGUAAGCGCAAGUCAUAAGCUUGCGCUGAUUACGUCCCUGCCCUUUGUACACACCGCCCGUCGCUACUACCGAUUGAAUGGUUUAGUAAGGUCUUUGGAUUGGCGUCAUUGUAGUAGCCGCUGCCAGGCGGUUACUCGACAGGUNCUGAGANGACGACCNAACUUNAUCAUUUAGAGGANGUAAAAGUCGCAACA
rnacentral:rRNA from 1 species